AACGCACAUUGCGCCCAUUAGUAUUCUAGUGGGCAUGCCUGUUCGAGCGUCAUUUCGACCCUUAAGCCCUUGUUGCUUAGCGUUGGGAGCCUACGUCGCCGUAGCUCCUCAAAGUCAGUGGCGGAGCUGGUUUCGCGCUCCAGACGCAGUAAUCUUUGCAUCUCGUCUGUAGUAGGGACCGGCGGCCGGCCGUAAAACACCCACCAUUUUUAAAGGUUGACCUCGGAUCAGGUAGGAAUACCCGCUGAACUUAA
rnacentral:misc_RNA from 1 species